rnacentral:lncRNA from 1 species
GUAAUAAAGGAAAUCAUAUUAAAACUACAGAUUUUUGUAUUUUAAAGCGCGAUUUCCUUCCCCCGAGUAGCGCGUGGCGGAGAUGGUUGGUGACCCCUGCGGUGCAAUCAUCCAACGAAAACUUCACUGCUCUGCACCAGUUUUUCUUUUUCUGGGUUUAGAAGGGGAGUUGUGACUACAAUACUUUAAAAAACAAAACUACCUUUAUUGUGGCAAGAGAAAACAUUACAAUGGAAACAAAUUACAUAUAAAUAGUUGUUUUCUCGGUAGCUUGUUGUUCUUUUUGUCUUUUGUAAAUUUCUUUGGUGGUCUUAAGUCCUGAUUUGGCCUUGACUACAGUACAGGAGCCCAUGGACCUAGACCAGAGACCACGGACCCUGAAAAUACCCACUGAAUCUACACCGAGAUUGAAUGCACAACACAGUUUGCAACUUAAAAGAAAACCAAAAGCCAAACCGACUCUGGCAGCGCGGGGAGACUUCCCAGCCGUUUUCUUGGGCAGCUAGGACAGCACCUGGGCCGUGCCAGAAAUGCCAGUUGCUAUGGUCCUGAUGGAUGGAAAGGAAGUGCAGGUUGGGUCUGCGCAGCAUGUCUAAAGCCUGAAAUACCGAAGCCACCCUUACCUUACUUCCCCAAAGUGACAACGCGCGGGAAUUCAGUCACAGCAGAGAACGAGUUGCAUCCAGUAACUCCCUUAGCUACCGGCCCCCCAGAAGUCUCGUAAAGUCUCAAAAGGCGAUGCGAUUAGCAAGACCGCGGCAAGGGGGGCACUUGUUACUCCUACACUUGCUCUCUGUUUAAAAAAAGGCUCUGAAGUAGGAAAGGUAGAUGCCGACCCUUUCUCCCGUCCUUAAACUACUCACCUUGUCAGCCCAGUAACUGAGAUAAACACAACAAAACAACCCCCCCACAACAACAAACACAACACCCAGAUUCAGGCAUUUACUCUCUGUAUGCCCACCUACUUGGGUUUUCCUUCAUCCUUAAGAAACUCAGAUGAAAACAGAGCUUUGUUUUAAAAAAUACUUUUAUUUGUUUAUUUCAG